GGGGUGCCCGGGCUUCUCCCCCUUUUCCAGCAACGGGAGAAG
rnacentral:tRNA from 1 species